GACGGGGGGGGCAAGUGUUCUUCGGAAUGACUGGGCGUAAAGGGCACGUAGGCGGUGAAUCGGGUUGAAAGUGAAAGUCGCCAAAAACUGGCGGAAUGCUCUCGAAACCAAUUCACUUGGGUGAGACAGAGGAGAGUGGAAUUUCGUGUGUAGGGGUGAAAUGCGCAGAUAUCGGGAAGAACACCCGUGGCGAAGGCGGCACUCUGGGACGGUACUGACGCUGAGACGCGAAAGCGUGGGGAGCGAACAGG
rnacentral:rRNA from 1 species